rnacentral:rRNA from 1 species
AGAGCGAACGCUGGCGGCAGGCCUAACACAUGCAAGUCGAGCGCGUGUAGCAAUACACGAGCGGCAGACGGGAGAGUAACACGUGGGAACGCGCCCUUCGGUUCGGAAUAACUCAGGGAAACUUGAGCUAAUACCGGAUACGCCCUUACGGGGAAAGAUUUAUUGCCGAAGGAACGGCCCGCGUCCGAUUAGCUAGUUGGUGAGGUAACGGCUCACCAAGGCGACGAUCGGUAGCUGGUCUGAGAGGAUGACCAGCCUCACUGGGACUGAGACACGGCCCAAACUCCUACGGGAGGCAGCAGUGGGGAAUAUGGACAAUGGCGCAAGCCUGAUCCAGCCAUGCCGCGUGAGUGAUGAAGGCCCUAGGGUUGUAAAGCUCUUUGUGCGGGAAGAUAAUGACGGUACCGCAAGAAUAAGCCCGGCUAACUUCGUGCCAGCAGCCGC